ensembl:lncRNA
ACCCACUUCCUGUUUACCUGACCCACUUCCUGUUGGUCUCUCAGUCCACCAGUGGGGGACGGAGGAGGUGGGGGCGUGGCUGGGCUUUCUCUCUCUCAACGAGUAUCAAGACAUCUUCAUGGGGCACGAUGUCCGUGGGGCCGAACUGAUCCACCUGGAGAGGAGGGACCUGAAGGACCUUGGGGUGACAAAGGUCGGUCACAUAAAGAGAAUCCUUCACGGCAUCAGAGAGCUCAACAGGAACAGCAGCGCCAGCGAGGCCUAACAGGUGAAUCCUCAGAAACAGCUGUCUGCUCCCCUCCUCCUUCUACUGCCGUUGCUCGCUGACGUUGCUUGACCUCCAGCCUGCAGGCCGAUCUACUCCCAGAACCAGAUAACCCAACAGUGCCUUGUUAUCUUACCCACCAUCAGGGCUCACCUACAAGAUCCAGACUCGAGCUAAUCUAUAGACCGCACCACCAGCUGCAGGUUCUGGGUUCUACCCGGUUCUCCUACCUACAGGAUCCUCAGGUUCUUGAUGUUUGGACUUCAGAGAACAAGCUCAAGUUUAGAGGGCUCAGGACCUCUGAAACAACGCAUGCUGUCUCUCACCUGAGCAGCCGGCCAAUCAGAACCGCCCGUCUGUCGUGUUCCGAACCCUUUAAGGCAUUGCAGCAUCCCCGUGUUUCUUCUUUUAAACUAAAACCCAUAUUUAUUUCUUCUAAACCUUAGUUGAUGUUUCGAUUUUACUUUCUAAACAGAAGUGUUGAAUACUGACGAGAUGACGUGUACCAACCUGGUGGUCUGACAAGCUGUCUUGCUCUUUCUUUGUCUCUGUCUCUCUCAUUCUGUCUUUCUGUCUGUCUCUCAAUAGAAACGUAUUGUCUCUUUUAAGAACAAACAAUGAGGGCGUUAAUCAGAACGUUGGCGUGUUGUUGUUGUUUAUUUAUAAAUCAUUAAUCACAUUCGAUCUUUCUGAAGCCUGCUAAACUGAAGUCCUAACUUUUAUCAAAUAAAACGUUUACACGUU